rnacentral:rRNA from 1 species
AUUGAACGCUGCGGAAUGCUUUACACAUGCAAGUCGAGCGGCAGCGCGGGGCAACCUGGCGGCGAGCGGCGAACGGGUGAGUAAUACAUCGGAACGUACCCAGUUGUGGGGGAUAGCCCGGCGAAAGCCGGAUUAAUACCGCAUACGACCUGAGGGUGAAAGGGGGGGAUCGCAAGACCUCUCGCAGUUGGAGCGGCCGAUGGCGGAUUAGCUAGUUGGUGAGGUAAAGGCUCACCAAGGCGACGAUCCGUAGCUGGUCUGAGAGGACGACCAGCCACCCGGGAACUGCGACAAGGUCCAUACUCCUACGGGAGGCAGCAGUGGGGAAUUUUGGGCAAUGGGGGCAACCCUGAUCCAGCCAUUCCGCGUGAGUGAAGAAGGCCUUCGGGUUGUAAAGCUCUUUCGGCAGGAACGAAACGGUGGGGGCUAAUAUCCCCUGCUAAUGACGGUACCUGAAGAAGAAGCACCAGCUAACUACGUGCCAGCCGCCGCAGUAA